CCUACGGGGGGCUGCAGUGGGGAAUAUUCCACAAUGGGCGAAACCCUGACGCAGCAACGCCGCGUGAGUGAAGAAGUAUUUCGGUAUGUAAAGCUCUAUUAGCAGGGAAGAGAAUGACGGUAACUGACUAAGAAGCCCCGGCUAACCACGUGCCAGCAGCCGCGGUAAUACGUAGGGGGCGAACGUUGUCCGGAUUUACUGGGGGUAAAGGGAGCGUAGACGGUUCUGCAAGUCUGAAGUGAAAGCCCGUGGCUUAACCGCGGAGCGGCUUUGGAAACUGUGGAACUGGAGUGCUGGAGAGGCAAGCGGAAUUCCUAGUGUAGCGGUGAAAUGCGUAGAUAUUAGGAGGAACACCAGUGGCGAAGGCGGCUUGCUGGACAGUAACUGACGUUGAGGCUCGAAAGCGUGGGGAGCAAACAGGAUUAGAUACCCUUGUAGUC
rnacentral:rRNA from 1 species